rnacentral:snRNA from 1 species
UUGCUUCAGCAGCACAUACACUAAAAUUGAAAUGAUACAGAGAGGAUUAUCACGGCCCUCACACAAGGAUGACGUACAUUCAUGAAGUCUUCCAUAUUUGU